rnacentral:lncRNA from 1 species
UUUUGUAUUUUUAGCAGAGAUGGGGUUUCACCAUGUUGGCCAGGCUGGUCUCGAACUCCUGACGCUUACCAUUAACCAUCACAAGCUGUUAGCAGAGAACUUCAAAGAGGAACCAGGAGUACGGGAAGAGCAUGAAAGUGGACAAGGAGCGUGACCAUGGAAGCACAGCACCACAGGGAGGGGUUUAGGCCUCCGGAUGACUGCGGGCAGGCCUGGAUAAUAUCCAGCCUCCCACAAGAAGCUGGUGGAGCAGAGUGUUCCCUGACUCCUCCAAGGAAACGGAGACUCCCUUUCACGGUUUGCUAAGUAACGGGUGCCUUCCCAGGCACUGGCAUUACCACUUGACCAAGGAGCCCUCAAGCGGCCCUGAUGCAGGUGUGACAGAGGGCUCACCUCUUGCCUUCUUGGUCACUUCUCACAAUGUCCCUUCAGCCCCUGUCCCUAUACCCGCCGGUUAUUCCUUGGUUAUACAACAAAGAGUAAUAUUAAAAGUUAAUGAUUAAUAAUGUUUAUACUAAUGAUUUAUAAUGUCCAUGAUCAUCUCUAUAUCUAAUUUGUAUUAUAACUAUUCUCAUUCUAACUAUUUUGUUUAUUAUACUGAAACAGUUUGUGCCUUCAGUCUCUUGCCUCGGCACCUGGGUAAUCCUCCGUCCACACUCGUCUGUCUCUCCUGCAGGCUGCAUUCGCUGAGGUGUGUCUGUGUUGUUCCCCUUUGAGUUCCAGUCAAAAAAGAUUCCUAGAGAGAAUUCGCUCUCACGCCAGGGCUAAGCUCCUCCCACCAGGUUCAUGAGCCUGGAAGUAAGUGCCGUCCACCAAUGUCCUGCCUGCUCUUCAGAGGCUCCUCAAGCCUUCCCUGCCCAGAGAGAUUCCGGGAUGAAAAGGAAAAACGUCCCUGCCUGGCAGAAAUUGAUGCUGCUUCUGGAAACGUAGGGCGGGUGGUUGUUUCCAAAAUGUGUCUGCCAUCACUUGAGCUAGUAGUGGGAGCAUCUAGUUUUGGAGCUGGACAGGCUUGGGAACGCAUCCCUGACUCCACAAAUUAUGUGACUUUGGCUUAAUGACUUAUCAUCUGGGAGCCUCACUUUCCUCAUCUGUAAAACAGGACUGACACUCACCUUGCAGGAAUACUGGAGGUCUGUACUGCGCUGCCAACAUCUAUUCGCCCUCAUCCGUGACAAGAGUACCCACAAUUUCCUCUGGGAAGCUGCUCCUCUCUGAUUAGUGUCUGUUCAGUGGUUGGAGGUUGACCCUACCCCAGCUCUGAGACGGCCUGGCCAGCCUAUCCUAAUUAGCAUAUCCCUUUCACCCUGGCCACAGUGAUUGACUUAGGGCUGGGCUGUGCAGAGGUGAGCCUCAGCUUUUUGGGUAGGAACACCAGGACUUGGAUUCCAGUGGGUUUAAUGCUAGGAGGGCAUCAAGCUUGUGAUAACUGUGGCCAUUUUUGUUACCAUAAGGGUAGCCAGUCUGAGGAUGGAAGCCAAUCUACAGGAAACAGAGCUAAGAGAUACUAAUGCAUCCCUAAAUCACUUGAGUCCUGGAUCAAACCGUUCCUGAAGCUCCUACUAAGCUACACUGUUAUGUGAACCAAUACUCUUCCUUUUGUUUAACCAGUUUUUGGUUUUGUGGGUUUUUUUGUUUGUUUUUGUUUUGUUUUGAUAUAGGAUCUUACUCUGUCACAUAGGCUGGAGUACAGUGGUAUGAUCUUGGCUCACUGCAACCUCCACCUCCUGGGCUCAAGCGAUCCUCCCACCUUAGCCUCCCAAGUAACUGGAAUCACAGGUGCACGCCACCACCAUGCUCAGCUAACUUUUAAAAUUUUCUGUAGAGACAAGGUCUCACUAUAUCACUCAGGCUGGUCUCGAAGUCUUGGGCUCAAGAGAUCCUCCUGUCUCAGCCUCCCAAAGUGCUGGGAUUACAGGUGUGAGCCACUGUGCUCAGUCAGAAUCUGGUUACUCCUGCACCAGAAAUACCCUAAGAUUUAUUUGGCCAGGCACGGUGGCUCACGCCUAUAAUCCCAGCAGUUUAGGAGGCUGAGGUGGGCGGAUCGAUUGAGCUCAGGAGUUUGAGACCAGCCUGGGCAACAUGGUGAAACCCCGUCUCUACAAGAUAUACAAAAAAAAUUAGCCAGGCUGAGUAGUCCCAGCUACUCAGGAGGCUGAGGUGGGAGGGUUGCUUGAGCCCAUAAGGCUGAGGCCGCAGUGAGCUGUGAUUGCACCACUGCACUCCAGCCUGGGCGACAGAGCGAGACCUUGUCUAAAAAAAAAAAAAAGAAGCAUCCACGGUCCUAUGACUCUCUGUAUUCUUGGUUUGUUAUCACCAGAGAAGAGUUCCAUUUCUCCGCUGGAAGGAUAUGCCCGUAUUGGUGUGUUCCGGCUGCUCUAACAAUAUACCGUAGACCGGGCAGCUUCAAAACAGCAGAAAUUGAUUUCUCCCAGUUCCAGAGACUGAAGUUCGAAAUCACAGUGCCAGCAUGGUUGGGUUCUAGUGGGGCCCCUCUUUCCGGUUGCAGACUGCUGUCUUCUCAUUGCAUUCUCAUAUGGCGGAAAGAGGGUGAGGCAGCUCUGUGGGGCCCCCUUAGAAGGGCCCUAAUCCCAUUCAUGAGGACUCUACCCUCAUGACCUAAGAACCCCCCUAAAAGCCCCACCUCCUAAUCCUAUCACAUUGGAAGUUAGGACAUCAACACAGGGGCCUGGUAUGAUGGCUCACACGUGUCAUCCCAGCACUCUGGGAGGCUGAGGCAGGUGGAAUACUUGAGCUCAGGAGCUUGAAACCAGCCUGGGCAACAUGGCAAAGCCCCAUCUCUACAAAAAAUACAAAAACUGGCCAGGUGUGGUAGUGCACACCUGCAGUCCCAGCUACUUGGGGAGCCGAGAUAGGAGGAUUGCCUGGGCCCA